UACGGAGGGUGCAAACGUUGCUCGGAAUCAUUGGGCGUAAAGCGCACGUAGGCGGUCCAGCAAGUCGGGUGUGAAAGCCCUCGGCUUAACCGAGGAAGUGCAUUCGAAACUACAGGACUUGAAUACUGGAGAGGAUCGCGGAAUUCCCCGGUGUAGAGGUGAAAAUUUCGUAGAUAUCGGGAGGAACACCAGUGGCGAAGGGCGGCGUCUGGACAGAUAUUGACGCUGAUGUGCGAAAACGUGGGGGAGCAAACAGG
rnacentral:rRNA from 1 species